GGGUGAGUAACACGUGGAUAACCUACCUAUAAGACUGGGAUAACUUCGGGAAACCGGAGCUAAUACCGGAUAAUAUUUUGAACCGCAUGGUUCAAAAGUAAAAGACGGUCUUGCUGUCACUUAUAGAUGGAUCCGCGCUGCAUUAGCUAGUUGGUAAGGUAACGGCUUACCAAGGCAACGAUGCAUAGCCGACCUGAGAGGGUGAUCGGCCACACUGGAACUGAGACACGGUCCAG
rnacentral:rRNA from 1 species